AGCGAACGCUGGCGGCAGGCCUAACACAUGCAAGUCGAACGAACCCUUCGGGGUUAGUGGCGGACGGGUGAGUAACACGUGGGAACGUGCCUUUAGGUUCGGAAUAACUCAGGGAAACUUGUACUAAUACCGAAUGUGCCCUUCGGGGGAAAGAUUUAUCGCCUUUAGAGCGGACCGCGUCUGAUUAGCUAGUUGGUGAGGUAAUGGCUCACGAAGGCUACGAUCAGUAGCUGGUCUGAGAGGAUGACCAGCCACAUUGGGACUGAGACACGUCCCAAACUCCUACGGGAGGCAGCAGUGUGGAAUCUUGCGGAAGGGGCGAAAGCCUGACGCAGCCAUGCGGCGUGGAUGAUGAAGGUCUUAGGAUUGUAAAAUCCUUUCACCGGUGAAGAUAAUGACUGUAGCCGGAGAAGAAGCCCCGGCUAACUUCGUGCCAGCCGCCGCCGUAAAAC
rnacentral:rRNA from 1 species